rnacentral:lncRNA from 1 species
AUGCCUCCCAAUUCUGAGUUGUUAUUUUUUAAAUUAGGUAUAUGGGUGUUUUGCCUGCAUAUAUAUCUACACCACAUAUGUACCUGUUGCUCAUUGAGGUCAAAGAGGGCACCAGAUUCCCUGGAGUUACAGAUGGUUAUAAGAUGCCAUGUAGGUUCUGCAAACCAAAUUCUCUGGUCCUCUGCAAGAACAAGUGUUCUUAACCUCUGCAGCUUUCUGGCCCCAAAUCAUGAAUUGUAAUUUCUAAAAAUUAGAAUAUGACAAUAGUUUUAUUUGUAUAAUUAUAAAAUUUUAUAUAGUUGAUUCAUACAGAUUUAGAAAAAAUUCUGGUUUUAUACUUAGGCAAUAAAGAGACUUUGAAAAGGUGUUUUAAAAUAACUAUAUAUGUGCACACUCAUAAGCAGAUGAUGACAAUAUCAGAGUUGUUUUCUUACUCUAUGUGGGGCUGUGGGAUCAAAUUUCGGUUGUCAUGCUCAGGGCCAGGUGACUAUUUGCUGAACCAUUUCAUGUGCUGUUCCUUUUAAUUGUCUAAUAUCCCUAACAUUUAAUUUUAGAGAACAAUUCUUUGACAUUUAGAGUUAUUUCUCUCACACUCAUUCAGUUCCCUCCCCUUAUGUCUUCUUCGCAUCUUCUCUUCAUUUCCUUACUGAAUUGCAAGGCUGUCUUAGUGUAGUGUAUCCUUCUGCUUUAGUCCCUGCAGUCUGAGAUUUUAGAUAUGUCCUGGCUUUAGAAUUAUCCUUGUAUAUAACAAAGGGUGGGAAGUAUUUUGUAAGAUUAUCCAUUAAACAUUAUACUAACCUAAAAUUCCAAAAACUGACUGACUGUGAUUUUAAGACUAAAGUCUUUACUGGAUAUAGUAAAGUUUAUCUGCAUUGAAGUAAAAAUCCUGAGACACAUUAUAAAAGUUUGUGUUCAUGUCUUGUCAAAUGUCAUGAGUUAAAUUGCUGAAUUAGAAGAUAACCAUUUUAACUUUUCCACAUCCCAUUGACAAGUUAUGACUGGUACUAUGUAUUUCCAUAAUGCCAAUAUGUAACCUAUGAGUGAAAAUUUUUCAAAAAUGUAUGGAAAGUACGGGCCUACGACGGCAGAUCUCUGAGGCCAGGCUGAUUACCUAGUUGGCUAGGACUACAGACCCCGUCUCAAACAAACCAAACCCUGCAGGAUGGCGUAGCAGACCAUGGUGCCUGCCACUUAGCUUAAUGAUUUGAGUGCAGUUUCUGGAACCCAUAAGGUGAAAGGAGAGAACCAACAUCCAUUGAGCUAUCCUCUGAGCUCAUACAAUGGCUCAAGUGCCCACACUCAUACAUUAGAUAAUUUAAAGAUCUACAUUAAUUCUAGUUUUAACUUAAACACAACACUUAAGAGUUCAAAAUCUAAAAGAGUAGCUUUUGGUUUUACAGAAAAACAUUGCCUGUGUUUAAUAUUAUUUACUUUUGUUUUUAAAUCUUAAGGCUUUUAAUCCAAACCUUCAAACAUUAAAGAUUCCAAAUUGCUGGCCUUUUUUAGUGGACUUAAUUAUACUAAAUUUGGGACUUCUAUUUUGCAGAAAAUAUACUUGGUUAAUAGAAUUUUGUUAAAUCCUAACUUUUUUUUUUUUUUUUUGGUUUUUCGAGACAGGGUUUCUCUGUGUAGCCAUGGCUGUCUGUCCUGGAACUCACUUUGUAGACCAGGCUGGCCUCGAACUCAGAAAUCCACCUACCUCUGCUUCCCUGCCUCCCAAGUGCUGGGAUUAAAGGCGUGCGCCACCAUGCCCGGCAAUUUUUUCCCUUUGGAAUUUCACUAUUUCAAGAAUGUUGCAGUAGUUUCCAAGACAGUUUGCAUAUAAUUUGAGGGGGAAUUGGUGUUAAUGAAGUAUACUACAGGAGAGUAUUAAAUAACAAGUUAGGAUACAUCUUUUUUCUGAAGUUAAGCUGCUGGGUAAAGUUUUUAACAGCAUCUUAUAGCAUUGAAGAAUUGUCCGUAACAAGGAAUUGCAAAGAGCAAAGCUUCAUUGGGAGGACACGGAAAAGGAAUUCAAAGGAGUGAUUAAUCACUGUCUUGAGAGCAUUUGCCAAACUGGGAGAAUCUGAUCUGCAAUUGGAAGUCUUCUGAUAAAGACCUGCUGCAUUGGAGAUUCAGUGGCAUGUCAUCUUUUAAGAGUUCUGUGCCAAAAAGCUACACUGAGAACAAAAGUGGUGAACCACAGUAAGUCUGUGUCAUUUACAAACUGAAAAGGAUGAAAGAAGCUUCUUUGAUCUGAAGAAUGGAAUGGGAAAAUCCUGACAUGAACAGUGAGACCAAUUAAAAAUGAUGUAGCAAUGUUAUAUGGGUUGAGUAUUG